rnacentral:tRNA from 7 species
GCACCCGUAGCUCAGUUGGAUAGAGCGCUGCCCUCCGAAGGCAGAGGUCACAGGUUCGAAUCCUGUCGGGUGCGCCA